AGUGAACGCUGGCGGCGUGCUUAACACAUGCGAGUCGAACGAGAACGGAUUAUAGCUUGCUAUAAUUGUCAGCUAAGUGGCGCACGGGUGAGUAAUGUAUAGGUAAUAUGCCUCUUACUAAGGGAUAACAAAUGGAAACGUUUGCUAAUACCUUAUACUCCUUAUUAACAGAAGUUAAUAAGGGAAAGAUUUAUUGGUAAGAGAUUAGCCUGUAUUGUAUCAGUUAGUUGGUGGGGUAAUGGCUUACCAAGACUAUGACACAUAACUGGUUUGAGAGGAUGAUCUGUCACACUGGAACUGAGACACGGUCCAGACUCCUACGGGAGGCAGCAGUGGGGAAUAUUGCACAAUGGACGAAAGUCUGAUGCAGCAACGCCGCGUGGAGGAUGACACAUUUCGGUGCGUAAACUCCUUUUAUAUGAGAAGAUAAUGACAGUAUUAUAUGAAUAAGCACCGGCUAACUCCGUGCCAGCCGCCGCGGUAA
rnacentral:rRNA from 1 species